UCGAGAAUCUUCGGCAAUGGGCGAAAGCCUGACCGAGCGACGCCGCGUGCGGGAUGAAGGCCUUCGGGUUGUAAACCGCUGUCAAUGGGGAGGAAGGCUGCGUGAAGAGCGCAGUUUGACCUAUCUUUGGAGGAAGGACGGGCUAAGUUCGUGCCAGCAGCCGCGGUAAGACGAACCGUCCGAACGUUAUUCGGAAUUACUGGGCUUAAAGGGUGCGUAGGCGGUGCUACAAGUCGGGUGUGAAAUCCCUCAGCUUAACUGAGGAAUUGCGCCCGAAACUGUAGUGCUGGAGUGAGGCAGGGGUGAGCGGAACUGAUGGUGGAGCGGUGAAAUGUGUUGAUAUCAUCAGGAACACCGGUGGCGAAGGCGGCUCACUGGGCCUUUACUGACGCUGAGGCACGAAAGCUAGGGGAGCAAACG
rnacentral:rRNA from 1 species